GCUUGCACCUUUCAAGCGAGUGGCGAACGGGUGAGUAACACGUGGAUAACCUGCCUCAAGGCUGGGGAUAACAUUUGGAAACAGAUGCUAAUACCGAAUAAAACUUAGUAUCGCAUGAUACAAAGUUGAAAGGCGCUACGGCGUCACCUAGAGAUGGGUCCGCGGUGCAUUAGUUAGUUGGUGGGGUAAAGGCCUACCAAGACAAUGAUGCAUAGCCGAGUUGAGAGACUGAUCGGCCACAUUGGGACUGAGACACGGCCCAAACUCCUACGGGAGGCUGCAGUAGGGAAUCUUCCACAAUGGGCGAAAGCCUGAUGGAGCAACGCCGCGUGUGUGAUGAAGGCUUUAGGGUCGUAAAGCACUGUUGUAUGGGAAGAAAUGCUAGAAUAGGGAAUGAUUCUAGUUCGACGGUACCAUACCAGAAAGGGACGGCUAAAUACGUGCCAGCAGCCGCGGUAAUACGUAUGUCCCGAGCGUUAUCCGGAUUUAUUGGGCGUAAAGCGAGCGCAGACGGUUGAUUAAGUCUGAUGUGAAAGCCCGGAGCUCAACUCCGGAAUGGCAUUGGAAACUGGUUAACUUGAGUGUUGUAGAGGUAAGUGGAACUCCUUGUGUAAACGGU
rnacentral:rRNA from 1 species